CGGGGAAUAUUGGACAAUGGGCGCAAGCCUGAUCCAGCCAUGCCGCGUGAGUGAUGAAGGCCCUAGGGUUGUAAAGCUCUUUCACCGGUGAAGAUAAUGACGGUAACCGGAGAAGAAGCCCCGGCUAACUUCGUGCCAGCAGCCGCGGUAAUACGGAGGGGGCUAGCGUUGUUCGGAUUUACUGGGCGUAAAGCGCACGUAGGCGGACUUUUAAGUCAGGGGUGAAAUCCCGGGGCUCAACCCCGGAACUGCCUUUGAUACUGGAAGUCUUGAGUAUGGUAGAGGUGAGUGGAAUUCCGAGUGUAGAGGUGAAAUUCGUAGAUAUUCGGGGGAACACCAGUGGCGAAGGCGGCUCACUGGACCAUUACUGACGCUGAGGUGCGAAAGCGUGGGGAGCAAACAGG
rnacentral:rRNA from 1 species